rnacentral:rRNA from 1 species
ACAUCCAAGGAAGGCAGCAGGCGCGCAAAUUACCCAAUCCCGACUCGGGGAGGUAGUGACAAUAAAUACUGAUACAGGGUUCUUUUGGAUCUUGUAAUUGGAAUGAGUACAAUUUAAAUCCCUUAACGAGGAACAAUUGGAGGGCAAGUCUGGUGCCAGCAGCCGCGGUAAUUCCAGCUCCAAUAGCGUAUAUUAAAGUUGUUGUGGUUAAAAAGCUCGUAGUUGAACCUUGGGCCUGGCUGGCCGGUCCGCCUCACCGCGUGUACUGGUCCGGCCGGGCCUUUCCCUCUGUGGAACCCUAUGCCCUUCACUGGGUGUAGCGGGGAAACAGGACUUUUACUUUGAAAAAAUUAGAGUGCUCCAGGCAGGCCUUUGCUCGAAUACAUUAGCAUGGAAUAAUAAAAUAGGACGUGUGGUUCUAUUUUGUUGGUUUCUAGGACCGCCGUAAUGAUUAAUAGGGACAGUCGGGGGCAUCAGUAUUCAAUUGUCAGAGGUGAAAUUCUUGGAUUUAUUGAAGACUAACUACUGCGAAAGCAUUUGCCAAGGAUGUUUUCAUUAAUCAGGAACGAAAGUUAGGGGAUCGAAGACGAUCAGAUACCGUCGUAGUCUUAACCAUAAACUAUGCCGACUAGGGAUCGGACGAUGUUAAAAAUUGACUCGUUCGGCACCUUACGAGAAAUCAAAGUGCUUGGGCUCCAGGGGGAGUAUGGUCGCAAGGCUGAAA